rnacentral:rRNA from 1 species
CGCACGGGUGAGUAACGCGUAUGCAACCUGCCCGUUUCAGCGGGAUAACCCGGAGAAAUCCGGCCUAAUACCGCAUGUGGCCGAGGGGAGGCAUCUUCUUUCGGCCAAAGGAGGCGACUCCGGAGACGGAUGGGCAUGCGUGACAUUAGCUUGUUGGCGGGGUAACGGCCCACCAAGGCGACGAUGUCUAGGGGUUCUGAGAGGAAGGUCCCCCACACUGGUACUGAGACACGGACCAGACUCCUACGGGAGGCAGCAG